rnacentral:rRNA from 1 species
CAGUCGUACCUGCGGGUAAUCAGCCUUUUGGGCAUGAUUCUGUGGAGCGUGAGGAGUUAAACGCCUUCGUGCCUGCAUAUUCGUGUACUUUUGGGUGUACUUGCCUGUGUGGUUAGUUAACAUCGAUUUUGGUUAUCAUAAAAUGGUUGGAGGAAUGUAGCUUCGAUCUCGUAUUGAAGUGUUAUAGCCUUCGGCAGAUGUGAUGAUCGAGAUUGGAGGUAUUGCAACGGAUACCCGUUCGGGGCU